rnacentral:rRNA from 1 species
GAUGAACGCUAGCUACAGGCUUAACACAUGCAAGUCGCGGGGCAGCAUGGGGGUUGCUUGCAAUCCCCGAUGGCGACCGGCGCACGGGUGAGUAACGCGUAUCCAACCUGCCCUUCACCACGGGAUAACCCGGCGAAAGUCGGACUAAUACCGUAUGUUGUCCAUUGACGGCAUCCGAUUUGGACGAAAGGCUUGGCGGUGAGGGAUGGGGAUGCGUCCGAUUAGCCAGACGGCGGGGUAACGGCCCACCGUGGCUACGAUCGGUAGGGGUUCUGAGAGGAAGGUCCCCCACACUGGAACUGAGACACGGUCCAGACUCCUACGGGAGGCAGCAGUGAGGAAUAUUGGGCAAUGGGCGUAAGCCUGAACCAGCCAAGUAGCGUGCAGGAUGACGGCCCUACGGGUUGUAAACUGCUUUUAUGCGGGGAUAAAGUGGCCCACGUGUGGGCUUUUGCAGGUACCGCAUGAAUAAGGACCGGCUAAUUCCGUG